rnacentral:rRNA from 1 species
CCUACGGGUGGCAGCAGUGAGGAAUAUUGGUCAAUGGACGAGAGUCUGAACCAGCCAAGUAGCGUGAAGGAUGACUGCCCUAUGGGUUGUAAACUUCUCUUAUAUGGGAAUAAAAUGUUCCACGUGUGGGAUUUUGUAUGUACCAUAUGAAUAAGGAUCGGCUAACUCCGUGCCAGCAGCCGCGGUAAUACGGAGGAUCCGAGCGUUAUCCGGAUUUAUUGGGUUUAAAGGGAGCGUAGGUGGAUUGUUAAGUCAGUUGUGAAAGUUUGCGGCUCAACCGUAAAAUUGCAGUUGAAACUGGCAGUCUUGAGUACAGUAGAGGUGGGCGGAAUUCGUGGUGUAGCGGUGAAAUGCUUAGAUAUCACGAAGAACUCCGAGUGCGAAGGCAGUUCACUGGACUGCAACUGACACUGAGGCUCGAAAGUGUGGGUAUCAAACAGGAUUAGAUACCCGUGUAGUC